AGCUUCCAGGUUUGAAAUCCCUCUAACCCUUUAAAUUUAAGCCCAUGACCCAGAUCCAGGAGACAGACUUUGGAGUCCUGUCACUGAUAAAAUGUCUUCGGUGCCGUGUCGUCAAUGGCCAACACUUGACUGAUUACUCCCAUUCUGACUCCAGUUGAAGAAAUAUUCAAAAAGCACUUCUACAGCCUCCUGAAAUGAGAAGAUUGUCUCCAGGCAAAACAUUUGUGUGGUUAUUGAGUUGCAAGCUGAACUAGCCACUUUUCAUGGAAUCAUCUUUACUUGAAAGACUGAUUGACAAGCUAUAGUUAACUCAGAAUUGGGUAGCUGGAAGACAAGUUUUUAAAACUGGACAAGUAAAACUGUCUUUUCAAUAAAAAC
ensembl:lncRNA